rnacentral:rRNA from 1 species
GAGUUUGAUCGUGGCUCAGAGUGAACGCUGGCGGCAGGCCUAACACAUGCAAGUCGAACGGCAGCACAGAGGAGCUUGCUCCUUGGGUGGCGAGUGGCGGACGGGUGAGGAAUGCAUCGGAAUCUGCCUAUUUGUGGGGGAUAACGUAGGGAAACUUACGCUAAUACCGCAUACGUCCUACGGGAGAAAGUGGGGGACCGCAAGGCCUCACGCAGAUAGAUGAGCCGAUGCCGGAUUAGCUAGUUGGCGGGGUAAAGGCCCACCAAGGCGACGAUCCGUAGCUGGUCAGAGAGGAUGAUCAGCCACACUGGAACUGAGACACGGUCCAGACUCCUACGGGAGGCAGCAGUGGGGAAUAUUGGACAAUGGGCGCAAGCCUGAUCCAGCCAUGCCGCGUGUGUGAAGAAGGCCUCGGUUG